GAUGAUGCUGCUGAUGCUG
rnacentral:miRNA from 2 species